GUAUAAUACAAAAAGCUAAAUCAGAUUUUAAAGUAUUCACUUUUAAAUCAUCCCAAUUACAUAAAAAAAACCACUUGAAAUGUGGUACUUAGUGUUAUUCUGGGCCUUCCAUAUAUGUGAUGUAUAACAUAUGAAUUUAGUAAAUGAAUGAUUGUCUGGCUAUAGACCUGAAAUUUCACUUAUGUACCUAACGUUUUAUAGUUACUUAUAAGAAGAAAGACAACUCUGACAUCUUAAAAGAUAAUUGUCAUCUUUGUGUUACGACAGUGAUUACGGUAGUCUGAAAAGUG
rnacentral:lncRNA from 1 species